AUGAGCGUUUUUGGCGGCGAUAGCUGGGCGCGGGAGGCGCAACACCGGAAGCGAAGCGUCGACGAGUUGAUGAUCGAAGGCAUCGAUUCAUCUGCUUAUAAGAAACUUUCCAACGGCAAGUUUGCCUGCCUCGUUUGCCCUAGCAAUCCUGUUCUCGACUCCCCCACCAUGCUCUCGACGCAUGUGAGCGGCUCACGCCAUCAAGCUGCCGAGCUGAGGCGUAAAAACAGAGAAUUGUCUAAGCAAGAAGAAAUUAAGAAACGAUUAGCGUUGUCGGAUUGUGUUAGCGCUAAAGCUCCUGCAAAUACUGCAACCAAACAGUUGAUAUCAACCAGAAAACCCUUGAUUGAGCGAGCACGAAAGGCUGUAUUGGAAGUAAUUUCCGGCGAAGUUACUCUGCCGGAGGUGAAACCCAGAGUUGCUAAUUUGGGGGGGCCGUGUGUUGGAGACAGUGGCAGCAAUGCUGAUCCCAUCGGAGUUGAGGCAACGGUAAAGGGAGUUGUUAGAGAGGUGCAGCCAUUGAAUUAUCGAUUACGCCAAGAGAGGGAACUCAAGUUCACGGCUGCUGGCUGGAAACGCGAUUGCCACGGUAGAUGGUUCAAGGAUGAAAAUGUUAGUUCUUUCAUUUGGCUGGAGUUUGUUGUUUUAAUGUUUGGGUUUACAUUUCACAGUUCGGAUUUACAUAGUUGUCGAUGUGAGGUUUUGACAAAGAGAAGUGCUCAUAUUGUAAACUGUUUGAUGCAUCAUUUUGUCCGCAGGUCGAAUUUGAUUCUGAUGAAGAAGAUCCCAACAUUGUCUUAAACGAGACCACUUGAUUUAAGCAAUAUCAGAGUCUAUUUUAAGUAUAGGAAAGUUGCAAGAAUUUAGCCUGAGAACCUCUUGCAAUGGCGAUUGCUUCAGCCGGAUGUUGUGCCCUCGGUAUCUACACACCCAUUCAGUACGUGCUGCGCUUUCCAUCACCGAAUCAUGACAAACUUUGCCGCGAAGAAGGCAUAUUGAGUUGUUGCUGGCGAUCCUCCAUCUUAACGUUGUGUUUGAUCAUCUAUCUCUGGUACUAAUCAUGUAGCUUGUGGGAUUUGUACUAUCAACUAGAACUGGAAUGGUGAAAAAUGCGUGUUAAAUUUAAAUAUGAAACAGUAAAGAAGUUUAUAAUGCAAUGAAUUUGCCCUUGUGAAA